GAUGAACGCUGGCGGCGUGCCUAAUACAUGCAAGUCGAGCGAACAGAUGAGGAGCUUGCUCCUCUGACGUUAGCGGCGGACGGGUGAGUAACACGUGGAUAACCUACCUAUAAGACUGGGAUAACUUCGGGAAACCGGAGCUAAUACCGGAUAAUAUAUUGAACCGCAUGGAUCAAUAGAGAAAGACGGCUUUGCUGUCACUUAUAGAUGGAUCCGCGCCGCAUUAGCUAGUUGGUAAGGUAACGGCUUACCAAGGCGACGAUGCGUAGCCGACCUGAGAGGGUGAUCAGCCACACUGGAACUGAGACACGGUCCAGACUCCUACGGGAGGCAGCAGUAGGGAAUCUUCCGCAAUGGGCGAAAGCCUGACGGAGCAACGCCGCGUGAGUGAUGAAGGUCUUCGGAUCGUAAAGCUCUGUUAUUAGGGAAGAACAAAAGUGUAAGUAACUAUGCACGUCUUGACGGUACCUAAACAGAAAGCCACGGCUAACUACGUG
rnacentral:rRNA from 1 species